UGGGUCGAUGACGAGUGCUGGUGGCGCAUGGGUCAUAUGCACUGAAUACGUGUCUAGAACUCUGAGGUCCAU